GCCAAGUGCAACACAGUGCCAACGGUGGCAACGGCAACGACGCCCACCAUGUGUUGACAAUGAAGAGGACGGCAGCCCAGGCCAGGUAAAAGAUGGGGCUACUGGCAUCCACGUCUAUGCUUCACUGCUCUUGUCCCCAGAAAGAUAUGGUCCUACUAGGUGCUGAAUUAUGAUACAGACACAGUCACCAUGGGGUCAGAGCUGCACUGUAUGAACUUAAGGAGGAUACGUCCUGGUGACCAGUAGGAUCUGACACCCUCUACUGGCAGGAAUGCAGGUGGUACACAUAAGUACACACAGG